rfam:Sugiyamaella lignohabitans strain CBS 10342 chromosome B, complete sequence.
GCGGACUUAGCUCAGUUGGGAGAGCGCCAGACUGAAGUGUACUUUGGUCUUGAUAUCUGGAGGUCCUGUGUUCGAUCCACAGAGUUCGCA